rnacentral:rRNA from 1 species
AAUAGAUACCCGGGUAGUCCACGCCGUAAACGUUGGGCGCUAGAUGUGGGGACCAUUCCACGGUUUCCGUGUCGCAGCUAACGCAUUAAGCGCCCCGCCUGGGGAGUACGGCCGCAAGGCUAAAACUCAAAGGAAUUGACGGGGGCCCGCACAAGCGGCGGAGCAUGCGGAUUAAUUCGAUGCAACGCGAAGAACCUUACCAAGGCUUGACAUAUACGAGAACGCUCUAGAAAUAGAGAACUCUUUGGACACUCGUAUACAGGUGGUGCAUGGUUGUCGUCAGCUCGUGUCGUGAGAUGUUGGGUUAAGUCCCGCAACGAGCGCAACCCUCGUUCUAUGUUGCCAGCAGUUCGGCCGGGAACUCAUAGGAGACUGCCGGGGUCAACUCGGAGGAAGGUGGGGAUGACGUCAAAUCAUCAUGCCCCUUAUGUCUUGGGCUUCACGCAUGCUACAAUGGCCGGUACAAAGGGCUGCAAUACCGCAAGGUGGAGCGAAUCCCAAAAAGCCGGUCUCAGUUCGGAUUGAGGUCUGC